CCGACGGGUGAGUAACACGUAUCCAACCUGCCGUCUUUUCUUGGACAGCCUUCUGAAAGGAAGAUUAAUACAAGAUGGCAUCAUGAGUCCGCAUGUUCACAUGAUUAAAGGUAUUCCGGUAGACGAUGGGGAUGCGUUCCAUUAGAUAGUAGGCGGGGUAACGGCCCACCCAGUCUUCGAUGGAUAGGGGUUCUGAGAGGAAGGUCCCCCACAUUGGAACUGAGACACGGUCCAA
rnacentral:rRNA from 1 species